GAAGCGGCAACAGCUCAAAUUUGAAAUCUGGCCCUUUCGGGGUCCGAGUUGUAAUUUGUAGAGAGUGUUUCGGGUGAGACCACGGUCUAAGUUCAUUGGAACAUGGCGUCAUAGAGGGUGAGAAUCCCGUAUGUGACUGUGGAUCGAGCCCAUGUGAAGCCUCUUCGACGAGUCGAGUUGUUUGGGAAUGCAGCUCAAAAUGGGUGGUAAAUUUCAUCUAAAGCUAAAUACUGGCUGGAGACCGAUAGCGCACAAGUAGAGUGAUCGAAAGAUGAAAAGCACUUUGGAAAGAGAGUCAAACAGUACGUGAAAUUGUUGAAAGGGAAGCGCUUGCAACCAGACCUGUCCGUAGGUGAUCAGCCGCUGUUCUCAGUGGUGCACUCGCUCUGCGAUCAGGCCAGCAUCGGUUCGGGCGGUCGGAUAAAGGCCUUGGGAAUGUAGCUCCCUUCGGGGAGUCUUAUAGCCCUCGGUGCAAUGCGGCCAGCCGGGACCGAGGACCGCGCUUCGGCUAGGAUGCUGGCGUAAUGGUUGUAAGCGACCCGUCUUGAAACACGGACCAAGGAGUCUAACAUCUAUGCGAGUGUUUGGGUGUUAAACCCAUGCGCGGAAUGAAAGUGAACGGAGGUGAGAGCCCUUAAGGGCGCAUCAUCGACCGAUCCAGAUGUCUUCGGAUGGAUUUGAGUAUGAGCAUAGCUGUUGGGACCCGAAAGAUGGUGAACUAUGCCUGAAUAGGGUGAAGCCAGAGGAAACUCUGGUGGAGGCUCGCAGCGGUUCUGACGUGCAAAUCGAUCGU
rnacentral:rRNA from 1 species